rnacentral:rRNA from 1 species
UGACGGUAUUCAACCAGAAAGUCACGGCUAACUACGUGCCAGCAGCCGCGGUAAUACGUAGGUGGCAAGCGUUAUCCGGAUUUAUUGGGCGUAAAGAGAGUGCAGGCGGUUUCUUAAGUCUGAUGUGAAAGCCUUCGGCUCAACCGAAGAAGUGCAUCGGAAACUGGGAAACUUGAGUACAGAAGAGGGCAGUGGAACUCCAUGUGUAGCGGUGGAAUGCGUAGAUAUAUGGAAGAACACCAGUGGCGAAAGCGGCUCUCUGGUCUGUAACUGACGCUGAGGUUCGAAAGCGUGGGUAGCAAACAGGAUUAGAUACCCUG